rnacentral:misc_RNA from 1 species
GGAAUGGUGUAAAACUGUUGGGCCCCUAGAUAUGGACCAUCUGGUCCUAUCAUAGCACCAUGUAUGUAAGGAUUAUACGGGUUGUAUUGAGACUGUGCAUAUCCAUAGCUUGGCGUAUAAUAUACAUAAGAUGAAUUCUCAUUUUGAGCACCUGCGUAUUGGAUAUCUGGACCAUCUAAACCAAAAAUCCGAGAAUGGUCCUCCCAUUCGCCAGGUGAUUCAAAUCCUGUACAGUAAUAACC